rnacentral:rRNA from 1 species
CCUACGGGAGGCAGUAGUGAGGAAUAUUGGGCAAUGGAGGCAAGCCUGAACCAGCAAAGUAGCGUGAAGGAUGACGGCCCUAUGGGUUGUAAGCCUCUUUUUACGGGGAGAAAAAGCCGGACGUAUCUGGCUGUGAGAGUACCCGAAACAAAAGGAUCGGAUCACUCCGUGCAAGCAGGCGCGGGACUACGUAGGAUGCGAGGGUUCUCCGGAUUUAUUGGGUUGAAGGGGUACGCAGGCGGGUUUUUAAGUAAGCGCUAAAAUCGUGGGGCUCAACCCAAUCCAGCCGUUGAAACUGGGGAUCUAGAGUGUGCGAGAGGCAUGCGGAAUGCCUGGUGUAGCGGUGAAAUGCAUAGAUAUUACGAAGAACCCCGAUUGCGAAGGCAGGAUACCGGUGUACAACUGACGCUCAGGCACGAAAGCGUGGGUAGCGAACAGGAUUAGAUACCCGAGUAGUC